GUGCAGCAGGCGCGAAUCCUUCGCAAUGCGGGAAACCGCGACGAGGGGACUCCCAGUGCCUACGCUCAGCGUAGGCUGUUCCCGAGCCUAGAAAGCUCGGGGAGUAAGGGCUGGGUAAGACGGGUGCCAGCCGCCGCGGUAAUACCCGCAGCCCGAGUGGUGGCCACUAUUAUUGGGCCUAAAAGCGUCCGUAGCCGGCCCGGUAAAUGCCUGGGGUAAAAUCGUGAGGCCUAACCUCACGAAUUCCGGGGUAGACUGCCGGGCUA
rnacentral:rRNA from 1 species